rnacentral:rRNA from 1 species
CCUACGGGUGGCAGCAGUGAGGAAUAUUGGUCAAUGGGCGGGAGCCUGAACCAGCCAAGUCGCGUGAGGGAAGAAGGUACUGCGUAUCGUAAACCUCUUUUGUCAGGGAAUAAAGUCGGGGACUAGUCCCUGUUUGAGUGUACCUGAUGAAAAAGCAUCGGCUAACUCCGUGCCAGCAGCCGCGGUAAUACGGGGGAUGCAAGCGUUAUCCGGAUUUAUUGGGUUUAAAGGGUGCGUAGGCUGUGAGGUAAGUCAGCGGUGAAAUGCCCCCGCUCAACGGGGUGAAGUGCCAUUGAUACUGCCUUGCUGGAGUACGGUUGCGGUGGGCGGAAUGUGUGGUGUAGCGGUGAAAUGCAUAGAUAUCACGCAGAACACCGAUUGCGAAGGCAGCUCACGAAUCCGCGAUUGACACUGAUGCACGAAAGCGUGGGUAUCAAACAGGAUUAGAUACCCUUGUAGUC